CCAAUAGCGUAUAUUAAAGUUGUUGCAGUUAAAAAGCUCGUAGUUGAAUUUCGGGAUUAGUACGCUGGUCGUGCCUUCGGUAUGUACUGGUGUUACUGGUUCCUACCUUCUGACGAACCGUCAUGUCAUUAAUUUGGUGUGGCGGGAAAUCAGGACUGUUACUUUGAAAAAAUUAGAGUGUUUAAAGCAGGCUCGCGCUUGAAUACAUUAGCAUGGAAUAAUGAAAUAGGACGUUUGAUCCUAUUUUGUUGGUUUCUAGGAUUGACGUAAUGAUUAAUAGGGAUAGUUGGGGGCAUUAGUAUUCAAUUGUCAGAGGUGAAAUUCUUGGAUUUAUUGAAGACUAACUACUGCGAAAGCAUUUGCCAAGGAUGUUUUCAUUAAUCAAGAACGAAAGUUAGGGGAUCGAAGACGAUCAGAUACCGUCGUAGUCUUAACCAUAAACUAUGCCGACUAGGGAUCGGAUGAUGUUAUUUUUAAUGACUCAUUCGGCGCCUUACG
rnacentral:rRNA from 1 species